GAAAGCUACUCACUGCUCUUGCCAGAAGCUCUGAGCCACCUUGAUGGUGAUUAUCUGGUGACAGUUUCACAAGCUGUCAGUGACCGUUGUGCCUGAGCGGUCCUGCUGAAGCUUUCCUGAGUCAUCUGACGUGAGCAGUCCUGUGUCUCUUGGCCCUAUCUUCUGUGACAGAGCUUUUCUCCUUAAGAAGAGUGUGGUGUUCAACAAAGAUUCCAGACACUAGUUCCUCCAGUCUGCCAAAAAUGUCCACCGGGGACAGUCCAAACAUGAGAAGAUCGUUUCAACACACCAACCAAAUGGGGUGGUGUAAGAUAAAAGAAAGCCAUGGCAAAGCUUAAAUCAAGGAAUGAAAAAUUCACCUUUUGGAGGCUAGUGUCAUUACAGAUAAGUCCUGCCUUUUCUUUAAUGAGAUCAUAAUAUGAGUCAUCUGUCUAUUGCGUAUAUUUUGAACUUCACAGGUCUAAUAAACUGGUAUGGAGAAUCCUUUAUGGGAGGCUACAGGAUUUUUAAAAAGUGUUUUUUUCUGAAAUAAAAAGCAUGCACAAAAUGAACAUUUUUCUUUUUUUAAGAGAUGUUAUGAUGAAUUUCUGCCUGAUGUUAUUGUUUUGUAAUGACAGAAUUUUAUUCUGUUUUGCUUACACAGUUGCUUGCCAUAAUGAUUUAAGAGAGGAAGGAGGUUAAUAGAGUAAUUUUGUAACAAUAAGAGCAAACUUGUGGAAGGUCAUAUCACUUCUCGAUUCUUAUUUCUCAGUAUAGGACCCUUCCAGCAACAAGCAUAGUUGCUGAAAGAGCUGGACUCAGUAGUUGGAGAAAAGUUACUUCCUACAAGUUAUUGGAUAUGAUCUUGUACAUAGAAAUUGAGUAGCCUUUUGUUAAAAUGGCUACUGGAGGCAUAUUGCUUCCUAGG
ensembl:lncRNA